rnacentral:rRNA from 1 species
GAUUAGUGGCGAACGGGUGAGUAACACGUGGGUGAUCUGCCCUGCACUUCGGGAUAAGCCUGGGAAACUGGGUCUAAUACCGGAUAGGACCUCGGGAUGCAUGUUCCGGGGUGGAAAGGUUUUCCGGUGCAGGAUGGGCCCGCGGCCUAUCAGCUUGUUGGUGGGGUAACGGCCCACCAAGGCGACGACGGGUAGCCGGCCUGAGAGGGCGACCGGCCACACUGGGACUGAGACACGGCCCAGACUCCUACGGGAGGCAGCAGUGGGGAAUAUUGCACAAUGGGCGCAAGCCUGAUGCAGCGACGCCGCGUGAGGGAUGACGGCCUUCGGGUUGUAAACCUCUUUCAGUACCGACGAAGCGCAAGUGACGGUAGGUACAGAAGAAGCACCGGCCAACUACGUGCCAGCAGCCGCGGUAAUACGUAGGGUGCGAGCGUUGUCCGGAAUUACUGGGCGUAAAGAGCUCGUAGGCGGUUUGUCGCGUCGUCUGUGAAAACCCGCAGCUCAACUGCGGGCUUGCAGGCGAUACGGGCAGACUUGAGUACUGCAGGGGAGACUGGAAUUCCUGGUGUAGCGGUGAAAUGCGCAGAUAUCAGGAGGAACACCGGUGGCGAAGGCGGGUCUCUGGGCAGUAACUGACG